CCUACGGGAGGCAGCAGUAGGGAAUCUUCCACAAUGGGCGAAAGCCUGAUGGAGCAACGCCGCGUGGGUGAAGAAGGUCUUCGGAUCGUAAAACCCUGUUGUUAGAGAAGAAAGUGCGUGAGAGUAACUGUUCACGUUUCGACGGUAUCUAACCAGAAAGCCACGGCUAAAUACGUGCCAGCAGCCGCGGUAAUACGUAGGUGGCAAGCGUUAUCCGGAUUUAUUGGGCGUAAAGGGAACGCAGGCGGUCUUUUAAGUCUGAUGUGAAAGCCUUCGGCUUAACCGGAGUAGUGCAUUGGAAACUGGGAGACGUGAGUGCAGAAGAGGAGAGUGGAACUCGAUGUGUAGCGGUGAAAUGCGUAGAUAUAUGGAAGAACACCAGUGGCGAAAGCGGCUCUCUGGUCUGUAACUGACGCUGAGGUUCGAAAGCGUGGGUAGCAAACAGGAUUAGAUACCCCGGUAGUC
rnacentral:rRNA from 1 species